GAUGAACGCUGGCGGCGUGCCUAAUACAUGCAAGUCGAGCGAAUGGAUUAAGAGCUUGCUCUUAUGAAGUUAGCGGCGGACGGGUGAGUACACGUGGGUAACCUGCCCAUAAGACUGGGAUAACUCCGGGAAACCGGGGCUAAUACCGGAUAACAUUUUGAACCGCAUGGUUCGAAAUUGAAAGGCGGCUUCGGCUGUCACUUAUGGAUGGACCCGCGUCGCAUUAGCUAGUUGGUGAGGUAAUGGCUCACCAAGGCAACGAUGCGUAGCCGACCUGAGAGGGUGAGCGGCCACACUGGGACUGAGACACGGCCCAGACUCCUACGGGAGGCAGCAGUAGGGAAUCUUCCGCAAUGGACGAAAGUCUGACGGAGCAACGCCGCGUGAGUGAUGAAGGCUUUCGGGUCGUAAAACUCUGUUGUUAGGGAAGAACAAGUGCUAGUUGAAUAAGCUGGCACCUUGACGGUACCUAACCAGAAAGCCACGGCUAACUACGUGCCAGCCGCCGCAGUAA
rnacentral:rRNA from 1 species